GUGCCAGCAGCCGCGGUAAGACGAACCGUACAAACGUUAUUCGGAAUCACUGGGCUUAAAGGGUGCGUAGGCGGCGCUGAAAGUAGGGUGUGAAAUCCCUCGGCUCAACCGAGGAACUGCGCUCUAAACUACAGUGCUCGAGGGAGACAGAGGUGAGCGGAACUUAGGGUGGAGCGGUGAAAUGCGUUGAUAUCCUAAGGAACACCCGUGGCGAAAGCGGCUCACUGGGUCUCUUCUGACGCUGAGGCACGAAAGCCAGGGUAGCGAACGGGAUUAGAAACCCGAGUAGUCC
rnacentral:rRNA from 1 species